rnacentral:lncRNA from 1 species
GGGGGGGGAUCUCUGAGACUUUUCUUCUCUUCCUUUCUUUUUCUCUUUCUCUUUUUGUUUUGGUUUCUUUUUCUUUCUUUUUCAUAUCAUCUUUGCAUUCUUUCUGCUUAAUUUGUUCUUUUUUGUCCUUCUUACCACCAUAACAUAAUGAUAUACUUCUUUCUUUUUCACACCAACAUACUUAUAUUUGUUCACUCUUCACCAUAACAUAAUGAUAUACAAAACUAUAAUAAUC